AUUGAACGCUGGCGGCAGGCUUAACACAUGCAAGUCGAGCGAGACCUUCGGGUCUAGUGGCGCGCGGGUGCGUAACGCGUGGGAAUCUGCCCUUUGCUACGGAAUAACUCAGAGAAAUUUGUGCUAAUACCGUAUAAUGUCGAAAGACCAAAGAUUUAUCGGCAAAGGAUGAGCCCGCGUAAGAUUAGCUUGUUGGUGAGGUAAAGGCUCACCAAGGCGACGAUCCUUAGCUGAUCUGAGAGGAUGAUCAGCCACACUGGGACUGAGACACGGCCCCGACUCCUACGGGAGGCAGCAGUGGGGAAUAUUGGACAAUGGGCGAAAGCCUGAUCCAGCAAUGCCGCGUGAGUGAUGAAGGCCUUAGGGUUGUAAAGCCCUUUUACCAGGGAUGAUAAUGACAGUACCUGGAGAAUAAGCUCCGGCUAACUCCGUGCCAGCAGCCGCGGUAAAAC
rnacentral:rRNA from 1 species